AUACGGAGGGUGCAAGCGUUACUCGGAAUCACUGGGCGUAAAGCGCGCGCAGGCGGCUAUUUAAGUUGGAUGUGAAAGCCUACGGCUCAACCGUAGAACUGCAUCCAAAACUAUUUAGCUAGAGGGUGGGAGAGGAAGAUGGAAUUAGUUGUGUAGGGGUAAAAUCCGUAGAGAUAACUAGGAAUACCAAAAGCGAAGGCAAUCUUCUGGAACACUACUGACGCUGAGGCGCGAAAGCGUGGGGAGCAAACAGGAUUAGAAACCCGAGUAGUCC
rnacentral:rRNA from 1 species